UUCAUGCCCUCUUAGUUGCUUUUGGGAUUGUUCAUUCGUGGAGACAUAUGGGAGACGUCAAGCUGACAGGCUUGUUAUGCCUGUUCCUGCUCAUACCAGUUUUAGUUUCUGGUUCGGAAGCAGAGAUGAUAUGCGAGCGCUAUAGUGUGACCUAUUUUACUUUAGUAUGCAAGUAUGAUCUAUGUGUUCAUGCAUGCCACAAGGAGCACAAGGAGAGCUUUCAUAAAGCCUUUUGUUUCGUGUUCCCCAGACUUUGUAUGUGCCGAUGGAAGUGUUGAAUAAGAAACAUGUUCCAAGUAUCAUAGGGUGUGUGAUGUAACAAGUAAUAAUGUUUUGUAGUGCGAUGAAUUGACAAUGAGCAAUGGAAGGAGUUGAGGAUCUACCAAAUA